GGUGCUAUGGCACAAUGGUUAGCGCAUUCGGCUGUUACAUCUGGUGAUCCCAGGUAAGCAACCGAAAGGUUGUAAGUUCGACCCUUACUAGCACCG
rnacentral:tRNA from 1 species